rnacentral:rRNA from 1 species
UGGGGAAUUUUCCGCAAUGGGCGAAAGCCUGACGGAGCAAUGCCGCGUGGAGGUAUAAUUCCUACUUUUCUUUAACUUCUUUUCCCUUAUAAUAAUCCCUUACUUUCUCUUUUUCCUCCUCCUCUUCUCCCUCUUUUCCCUCCUCCUCUUUCCUCCCUCUUCUUCCCUCUUUAUCCUUAAUUAUUUUUCUUAAAUCUGCUGUAGGUGGCUUUUUAAGUCCGCCGUCAAAUCCCAGGGCUCAACCCUGGACAGGCGGUGGAAACUACCAAGCUGGAGUACGGUAGGGGCAGAGGGAAUUUCCGGUGGAGCGGUGAAAUGAGUAGAGAUAGGAAAGAAAAAAAAAGGAGAAAGAAAUAUGAUGGGAAGAAAAUGAAAAUGAGAGACGAAAGCUAGGGGAGCGAAUG